UCACAGUAUUAACCAUCCCUAACCAACUGGACAAGACACCAAUCUUUUGAACUUUCAACCUCAACUUUUUAUUUUCACAAUAGUUAUGUUUUAUUUUGUAUGUAAAUUUCCCUCUUUUCGUGUUUCAUUCAAGAUCAUAACUACGGCAUAAAUCAUAAAGUACCAAAAAUAGAACUCAUAUAUUUAUGUAAAGAUGCUCCAUUUCAUGGGGCUGUGAUGCCUAAAGCUGGUCUGGUCCCUUUACUCAGGUCCUUUUUUUACCAAUUUUUAUUGCCUUUAAGUUCCUUCCAUAACAAAUUUGAAUGCUGAAUCUUUCUCCAUCUCAUCAUGUACUAUCCUCCCAAGUGUAGUACCAAAAAUCUCCUGUUUUCGUCGUACUUGCCUGAUAUAACCAUCCAUCCCCCACCGGCUUAUAAAAUCGGCAUACGAAGUGCACAAGGCUCUCUACCACUGAAGGAUCUGGGAAGGUUAAGGUGCAUAUAACUUUACCAUGAUAAGCAGGGAGGUUAUUUUCAAAAUUCAAACUUUCAAGAAGAGCAGUUAAGCAGCAAAAAAGCAGAUCGCAUGCCGUGUUUGCUCAAAAGCAAAUUGGCAGUCACCUCACUGAACACUGGUGCAACAAAUCUAGUCAUGACCCUAACCAUGAUGGUGGUCGAAAGUAAUGCAGUUGGGUUUAAGAAAUUAAAACUGAAUUGGGAACGACUGAUAUCUCAUAUGCAAUUAUUCUCAAUUUUCUAUAAGCUAAUGAAGAAAAGCGGAUGUUGAAUGGGCCAUUGCCCAAAGAUUAUGUAGCAUCAUGUCAAAAAUCACUUCCCACAAGAAGCAAGAUGUGGCUUGGAAAGCAACUGAUCCUUGUAUGGUCAUUCUCAUCUAGUGUAAUCAUAGUUUCUUGUGACUUGUAAGCACAAUACGAAUAAUCAAGAAA